AACGAACGCUGGCGGCAGGCCUAACACAUGCAAGUCGAGCGAAGCCUUCGGGCUUAGCGGCGGACGGGUGAGUAACGCGUGGGAACGUGCCCUUUGGUACGGAAUAGCCCCGGGAAACUGGGAGUAAUACCGUAUGUGGUCGAGAGACGAAAGAUUUAUCGCCAAAGGAUCGGCCCGCGUUGGAUUAGGUAGUUGGUGGGGUAAUGGCCUACCAAGCCGACGAUCCAUAGCUGGUUUGAGAGGAUGAUCAGCCACACUGGGACUGAGACACGGCCCAGACUACUACGGGAGGCAGCAGUGGGGAAUCUUAGACAAUGGGGGAAACCCUGAUCUAGCCAUGCCGCGUGAUCGAUGAAGGCCUUAGGGUUGUAAAGAUCUUUCAGUGGGGAAGAUAAUGACUGUACCCACAGAAGAAGCCCCGGCCAACUCCGUGCCAGCCGCCGCCGUAAUAC
rnacentral:rRNA from 1 species